AUCCAGCCGAUGAAUCCCAAACAGGGCAAAACACGCGUCCUGGAU
rnacentral:hammerhead_ribozyme from 1 species